GACGAACGCUGGCGGCGUGCCUAACACAUGCAAGUCGAACGAGAAAGCACCUUCGGGUGUUAUUAGAGUGGCGAACGGGUGAGUAACACGUGAGUAAUCUGCCCCUGGCUGGGGAAUAACCAGGAGAAAUUCUGGCUAAUACCGCAUAACGCAGCAUUUCACAAGGAGUGUUGUUAAAGUGGCUUCGGCUAUCGGCUGGGGAUGAGCUUGCGUCGGAUUAGCUUGUUGGUGAGGUAACGGCUCACCAAGGCUACGAUCCGUAACUGGUCUGAGAGGAUGAUCAGUCACACUGGAACUGAGACACGGUCCAGACUCCUACGGGAGGCAGCAGUGGGGAAUAUUGCGCAAUGGGCGAAAGCCUGACGCAGCAACGCCGCGUGAGGGAAGACGGCCUUAGGGUUGUAAACCUCUUUCGAUUGGGACGAAGGCUUAACUGUGAAUAUCUGAUUAAGUUGACGGUACCUUUGGAAGAAGCCCCGGCUAACUACGUGCCAGCAGCCGCGGUAA
rnacentral:rRNA from 1 species